CCUACGGGUGGCAGCAGUGAGGAAUAUUGGUCAAUGGACGAGAGUCUGAACCAGCCAAGUAGCGUGAAGGAUGACUGCCCUAUGGGUUGUAAACUUCUUUUAUAUGGGAAUAAAAUGUUCCACGUGUGGGAUUUUGUAUGUACCAUAUGAAUAAGGAUCGGCUAACUCCGUGCCAGCAGCCGCGUUCAUACGGAGGAUCCGAGCGUUAUCCGGAUUUAUUGGGUUUAAAGGGAGCGUAGGUGGAUUGUUAAGUCAGUUGUGAAAGUUUGCGGCUCAACCGUAAAAUUGCAGUUGAAACUGGCAGUCUUGAGUACAGUAGAGGUGGGCGGAAUUCGUGGUGUAGCGGUGAAAUGCUUAGAUAUCACGAAGAACUCCGAUUGCGAAGGCAGUUCACUGGACUGCAACUGACACUGAGGCUCGAAAGUGUGGGUAUCAAACAGGAUUAGAUACCCCAGUAGUC
rnacentral:rRNA from 1 species